rnacentral:rRNA from 1 species
UACGUAGGGGGCUAGCGUUGUCCGGAAUCAUUGGGCGUAAAGCGCGCGUAGGCGGCCAGAUAAGUCCGGUGUGAAAGUCACAGGCUCAACCUGUGAAUGCCGCUGGAAACUGUCUGGCUCGAGUCCGGGAGGGGCGAGUGGAAUUCCUGGUGUAGCGGUGAAAUGCGCAGAUAUCAGGAGGAACACCAAUGGCGAAGGCAGGCUCGCUGGAACGGUACUGACGCUGAGGCGCGAAAGCGUGGGGAGCGAACAGGG